GUCAAUUUAAAAUAUAAUAUGGGUAUCCUAAAAUUUACUUUAAUUUUACCAAUACUUUUGUUUUGGAUUAAUAAUGUCGCUAUUGGUCAAACUGCGGAUUUAUACGAUAUUGCAAAAGCUCUUCUAGAACAACUUGAUACUGUGGUAAACGACAAAAAAGACAUAUUUAAAGAAAAUAUACGUGAAUAAGGUGACAAAAGUUAUGUAAUAGCAAACGAAUUUAAAAAUUUUUCAUUAACCAAUUUGGACUAUGAAUUCAACCGUGUUAUGGUCACAGCAUCUAAUUUGCGACAGGAAGUGGAAAAUGUUUCUUCGGAGUCUGCCCAAUGUUUGAAUGAUUUAUGGGGAAAUUUCACAAACUAUCGUCUUAAAGCUAACUCGUAUGAGAUGAGCGCAAAUGCUUUUAUAGUGGCAAUUUCUAGAAAUCUAGGGGAAUUCCUUCGAAUGUUAGAAUGGACUCACACAGGAAGAUUACAUAGUCAACUUGAGAGUGAAAGUUGCAUACAAAGUGAAUCGUGUCUUACAGAUCUUAUUUCUCAAAUUUCAAACAGUUUUGUGACCAUGCCAAAAGAAAUUGAUGACUUGGCCCAAAGAGUGGUUGAUUAUCUGGAUGACUAUGAAAAACGUUUAUAUUCAAUGAACACAGUAACAACACUUAUUGAAGACGUCUAUAAAAAUCUGGCUCAAAUUCUGAAUUGUAAAUUUAUUGCAUACACACAAGUAUCUUAGAUGAAAUAUACAUAUAAAAAAUAAAUAAAAGAUAGUAUAAUCGCAAACAACCCAAUCUAAAUGUGAAAAUUUGUUUUAUUAUAUAUUUUUAGAUCGUAUGUAAAUAAAUAUCAGCAAAUGCA